AACGAACGCUGGCGGUAUGCUUAACACAUGCAAGUCGAACGAACAAAUUAGAGCUUGCUCUAAUUUUAGUGAGUGGCAAACGGGUAGAGUAACACGUGGGAAUCUACCCAUCAGUACGGAAUAACAUUUGGAAACAAAUGCUAAUACCGUAUAUUCUCUAAGGAGGAAAGAUUUAUCGCUGAUGGAUGAGCCCGCGUAAGAUUAGGUAGUUGGUAGGGUAAGAGCCUACCAAGCCUACGAUCUUUAGCUGGUCUGAGAGGAUGAUCAGCCACACUGGGACUGAGACACGGCCCAGACUCCUACGGGAGGCAGCA
rnacentral:rRNA from 1 species